UAUAUCUACAUGUAUAUUUAUUUAUAUUUCAUAUCUUGAUUCUAAAAAACAAUACUUAGAAAUUAAUUGAUUCUAGGUCCCAGUCAAACUUUUAUGAAGUAAUAAAUAAUUUUAUAAGGGAAGUUGAUUUUUUUUUUCUUAGUCAAAAUUUUCUAUUACUAUAAAGUAGUAAUAAAUUUAGUAGGGAGUAUAAAUAGUUAAAAAAUACUAAAUUAAUAUUCUCAGGAACAUUUUUAUUUUUGGUUCCAGUCAAACUUUUAUAAAGUAAUAAAUAAAUUUAAUAGGGAGGUUGAUUUUCAUUUUU
rnacentral:lncRNA from 1 species